AUGUUCCUGGGCACCCAUCCGUCGAGCUCGAAGGUCAAGAAGUACUUGACGUUGAUGAGCCACACGAGGAUGCAUAUGAGGCCGAUGAUCUUGGUGAGCGCCUCGCCGAACUCGUUGAGCUUCUUCUUGAGCGGCGUGUCAUCGUCCUCCUGCGAGGCCUCGUGGAUCUGCGAGUGGAUCUUGCCGAUCUCGGUGGCCAUCCCGGUGUGCACGACGAGGCAGACGGCGGAGCCAUUGACGACGGUAGUGCCGGCGAACACCAUGCACUCCUUGGCCUGGAUGUCGGCGUCCUCGGCGGGCACGGCGUGGGCCGUCUUGUUGACGGAGUUGGUCUCGCCGGUGAGGGAGCCCUGCUCGACGCGGAGCGUGGAGGAGACGAGGAUGAGGAAGAUGACGAGCGGCUCGACGAAGGCCGAGAGCGUGAGCGCGCCGGCCGACGAGGAGAGCGCGAGCGCGAAGGAGACGGCGGCGGCGGCGAGGAGGAUGCGGACCAGCGUGUCCUCGAACUGCUGCGCCACGAGCUGCAGCACGGAGGGGCCCGGGUGCUCCAGCAGCUCGUUGGGCCCGUGCGCGCGCAGCCGCGCCGCCGCCUCCGACGACGAUAGCCCGCGGUCACGGUCCGUCCCGAACCGCUUCUCGCACUCCUCCACCGUCCGCGCCCACGCCGGGAACGGCGCCGCCAUCGCCCCCUUCCCCUCCUCCUUCACCGCCGGCGCGUCGUGCCCCGCCUCGCCCAUCGCGGACCGCGCCGAGGAAAGGAGUCGCCUUUGA
rnacentral:rRNA from 1 species